ensembl:snRNA U2 U2 spliceosomal RNA
CAUUCUUCUCAGCCUUUUGGCUAAGAUCAAGUGUAGUAUCUGUUCUUUUCAGAGUUACAUUCUUACAAUGGAUGGAUUUUAGGGUUUGUAAAUUAUACCUCUU